GCCCGAGUGGCUCAGUCGGUUAAGCAUCUGACUUCAGCUCAGGUCAUGAUCUCACAGUUCGUGAGUUCAAGCCCCGCAUCAGGCU
rnacentral:tRNA from 1 species